AUAAAGUGGGUCGUGUGAUUUAUGAGACUUCAGAUUUAUAUUCAAUGGUUGAAAAUUACGUGCGUCAUGGAGGCUACUCCCUCAUAGAUGCUGUCUUUUCUCUUGAUCUCCUGAUGGCUGACAGCUUCCUCAAAACAAGUGAGAACAGGGAGGCGAGACGAGGAAUCCUUGUGCCUAUGCUCUAAAUGUGUGCUCAACAGUGAAAGAACGUGUUAAGAAGUCAUGUAUAAUGCGCUGCUCUUUAUGACUUCAGAAACGUGCGACUUUUACAAGUCAAAACAGACGAUGUUCUCUACUGGGACCCACGUGAUCAUGGAAAAGGGCAAUCCCUUGUUGCCAGCCGUCGACCACAGGUUCGUACUUAUGACAAAGGCUUUUCUAGAUAUUAAUGUAGAUAUUAAUCUAAAUAAAUUCUAGAUAUUAAUUUCUGCAUGACUGGUUUGAUUCUUUAUUAACAAUAAAGGAGGAAAACUAACGCUGAUAUUUUGUUGAUGGUGCUGGCAGGAUAAGAGCGAUUGUGGAAUCCGGGUUGUUUGAGCACUGGAUGAACAACGAACUCCAUGCAUACCGCAGCAACUGCCAAUUCUCGCCCUCCAUCAUCUUGGUGAGGGAGCCGCUGUCCCUCGCCAACCUCUGGGGGUUGUUCUUAGUGCUCGGGACAGGAAUGCUGUUGGCAGCGAAUGUCUUCUGUCUGGAGCUGAGCGUUCCCCCGAAGCCAACAAGCAAACCAUGAAGAAGCCGUGUAGUUCAACUUGUCCUCCUCGUCCGAGGUGAUGCACCAGCCUGCAGCCUCCACACUUGGCAGUGUUUGGCGCGCACUCCUGUCAUUUCAUCACGUUACUUCGUGCUUACAUUAAUCUUCUCUUCUCAA